AAAGGCCAGAAGUGACUCCUGCCGUAGCUGCGGCAGGCCUGGAGGCCGUACUGGGACCUGGCCAAAGACCCAGAAGUCCAGCUUUGAAGAAAACCUGGAGAAAGAGAGAGUCACAAAUCAUCUCCAUACUGCAGGAGAUGCAGAAAUGGCAGAAGGCAUCCCUUGGCUGUGACAGUUUCUUGAUCUUCACUUGAUUUUCAUGGUCUUGACACUUUGAGGACUACUGCUCAGGUUUACAGAUGCCAUUUAUGUCCAGAGCUACUGAGGGUGCCAACAGAUGUCGUUUUGUAAGAAAAGCUCCCCAAAAUUCUGUGCAUCGGACUCAUUUAUGCAAUCUCUGCCUACAUUGGGACCCCACUGAAGCCACGACCCCUAAGGCAGGGCUGGACUGCCUUGCAGUGGGAAACAGCCCAAGUGUCCAUCACUAGAGGAAUGCCUGAGUAUACUGAGGCCAGCCUUACUAUAGAGUCCAAGCAGCAAGUGACAAGGAUGAGGUGGCUCUACAUGUGCACGUGUAGAACUGCCCCCAAGACCUUGUGAAAUGCAAAGAAUAUUGAGUAUCACUUUAGAAUAUAUUAAACAACCUAUCAAGAUUAAUGAGCUUAUUCAGAAAAGAAAAUAAGUCCUGAUCAAUUUCAGCGUGUUUGGACCAGCAGAUUCCAGGUGAUGGAUAGGCAGCUUCAUUUUAAUAGUCUGUUGGUACAGGGUGACCUGUAGCCUUUCCAGAAGAGGUAAAAUGAAUCCUCCGGUUGUCACCCCCUCCUUCCUCGCUCCAAUUCCAUCAUUAAUCCCCGUUUGAGGAUUUGAGUGCUGCCGAGGACUGACAGACUCCAUGAGGUUCAGCUGCUGCCUGGUACAUGUGGUCACCUGCAGCUUCUUCAGCCCUACAUAUAUUUUGUGCUGUUUUAGACUGCUCUUUCUUCCAUUAAAUGAGAGAUUAGAUCUGAAUGGCCACGUGAUCUUCUGAGUCCCAUCUGUAAGAAUCUGCAUUUCCACGGAAUUGGGGGAGCAAACGUUCUCAAAACAUUCUUAAAUGCAAACCCGCAGGCACAGCAUGUGUCUGUCAACUCCAAGAGCAUUUGGAUGUUCGAAGGGAGAGGAUGUUUGACAUCUAACCCGUCGUGGAAAGAGGAGCCUCUACAGUGACAUGAAGGCAAUGGAUUCUCAGCAUUACAAGGCAAGACAGAACUUGAAGGAAGAAGGCUGGGAGGAAACCAAUGUUGAAUGAACACUGACUCUGUGCUCAGCCCUGAGCAAGCAGUGGAAUGCCCCUGGGCUGUGAGCCACGAAUUCAAAUCCCAGCUUGUAGAGCUGUUCUGGGGGUUAGAAGUUUGGGGUCCCUCGUUGCUGCACUCGUUCCAGGUUUGGGGCUGGCGCUGCCCUUCUGACCCCUCCCUAAAGUGGACACAGGAGAAGGAGCGGGGAGAAGAGACAGGCGGCCAGGAGACACCCUGUUGAGGGCUCCCUCUGCUUGCAACAGGACCUGCUGAGGUUGCAGCUGAAGUGCUGGUCUUCCCAGAGAAAACAACCCCUCAUUCUCAAAGGAUGAGAGUGAGCCCUGCGGGGCUGCAUGCUCUUGGCCAUGGGAGAUCAACUGUGGUCACAUAGAGUGUAAUCAGUGUGUAUUUAUGGAUCACUCACUACAUGCAAGACCGGGACACAGCCGGGAUUUACUGUGGGGCUGAAAGCAAGUCACUUAAAAAGGUAAAAAUUCAUGUCCUUUUAAUCUACUUUUCAGCAAGGAACAUCACGUCUGAAUGCUCGCGGCCUCUGCCUGCCCCGUGGGAUGGUGCUGGAAAUUAUACUCAUAUUUAGAUAGCAUUCUCUGCAAGUGGCUGCUGUUGUCCUUCCAUCGUCAGCACAGGCAGAUGCUGGGAGUACCCACCUUGGGGUGAGGUGGCAAGAGAGGGCCAGCUUGUAUCCGCCUCGUUGUCGUCCUUCCUUCCUGACUUGACUCUCUCCUCUGUGGCCUUCUCAGGAGUGGGAUGUGGUUGUGAGGAGAAUGUGCACUUUACCCCUCACCAGUCCAGAGAGGGGCACAUAGCCCAAACCUCUCCCCUUCCCAGAAACCUGCAAGUCCCCCUGGGUGCGCCUGUGUGAUGAGGCAGGCUCCGAGAGCCACAGGCUGGUGGGCCACUAGGAAGCAGUAAAGGAAGACAUUUUAUGAUUGUAGCUGGAGAUAAUGAAUUGAAAAGCUGGUCUCUGUUUCUGGAAAUGAUGCCAGGAGGCCCUCAAAAUAAACGCCCACCUGUCCUUCAGGUCUCAACACCUG
rnacentral:lncRNA from 1 species